rnacentral:rRNA from 1 species
AUUGAACGCUGGCGGCAUGCCUUACACAUGCAAGUCGAACGGCAGCACGGGAGCAAUCCUGGUGGCGAGUGGCGAACGGGUGAGUAAUAUAUCGGAACGUGCCCAGUCGUGGGGGAUAACGCAGCGAAAGCUGUGCUAAUACCGCAUACGAUCUACGAGUGAAAGCGGGGGAUCGCAAGACCUCGCGCGAUUGGAGCGGCCGAUAUCAGAUUAGCUAGUUGGUGGGGUAAAGGCCCACCAAGGCGACGAUCUGUAGCUGGUCUGAGAGGACGACCAGCCACACUGGAACUGAGACACGGUCCAGACUCCUACGGGAGGCAGCAGUGGGGAAUUUUGGACAAUGGGCGCAAGCCUGAUCCAGCAAUGCCGCGUGCAGGAUGAAGGCCUUCGGGUUGUAAACUGCUUUUGUACGGAACGAAACGGCCCUUUCUAAUACAGGGGGCUAAUGACGGUACCGUAAGAAUAAGCACCGGCUAACUACGUGCCAGCCGCCGCCGUAA